rnacentral:rRNA from 1 species
AUGCCAAGUCUGAGUGCUUCGCUUUUCUACAAAGAGGUUGACUUGCUGCAGCCUAUUGCUUUCGACAAGGUAUUUGACCUAAACAAGUUCAAUGCCCGCUGUCAUGGGUUUGUAAGAGUAGCUCGGUAUUCAGAAGUUUCGAAUCGUACCGAGCCUUUCAAACUUCAAAAGGGCAGUGGUAGGAGGUGGACAGUGGAGAGAGAUUUGGAUCAACUGCAACAAUCCAGAUUGGGGGAGGCCGAUGGCUUUGAAGUGAUUCAUGUCACUGGGAAGCAUCCAUUUCUAUGGCCUGAUCAUUGGCCAGUGAAAGACUAUGCCAGGAUCUUUGAUUGCCUUGCUGUAGCUCCUGAGAUAGAAACUGAAGUUGUCAGGGUCAUAUCCAAGAUUAAAGAUGCAGGGAAAAAAGCAAGACAUGAUGCUGCCGUUUCUCAUAAUAAGAAGAGGAUAGAUGGUUUGAAAAAUCUUCCUGUGCAGUACAUUGCUGUUCACAUGAGAAUAGAGAAAGAUUGGAUGAUUCAUUGCAAGAAGUGGGAGCAGCGGUCCAAUUUAAAGGAAAUUUGCAGCAGCAAAGGAGAGAUCAUUCAUAAGGUCUCACAGAUCACUGACCUACGUCGCCCGGUUGUAGUUUAUCUUGCAGUAGCCGACAGCCUUCUAGAAGAUAAUUCAGUAACCAGUGGUUGGAGAGUUGGUAUGGUUGCUUAUGAGAAGAAGAAACUUGGAGUUACUGACAUAUAUGAGAAGCAGCCUUACCUUAUAAAGUCUGCCAUCGACUUUGAGGUAUGCGCAAGAGCGGAUGUGUUUGUUGGCAAUAGUUUCUCAACAUUUUCCAACCUUGUAGUAUUGUCUAGAACAGAAAGGUUAUACAAGUUAGGGAAGGCAAGCUCAUGUGGUGAGGAUGUUGGGCUGUCGUCCUAUGCGUACAAUGUCAUCGGAGAUGAUGGCGGGCCACAGAAAUGGAUGACAGAUAUGUUGGACACAAGCCUUCAGCGCAUAAGUUAUGGAACAAAUAACGUCUCCUGCCACUGA